UACAGGGGGUGCAAACGUUGCUCGGAAUCAUUGGGCGUAAAGCGCACGUAGGCGGUUCGUUAUGUCGGAUGUGAAAGCCCUUGGCUUAACCGAGGAAGUGCAUCCGAAACUGGCGAGCUAGAGUACUAAAGAGGAUCGCGGAAUUCCCGGUGUAGAGGUGAAAUUCGUAGAUAUCGGGGGGAACACCGGUGGCGAAGGCGGCGAUCUGGGUAGAUACUGACGCUGAGGUGCGAAAGCGUGGGGAGCAAACAGGG
rnacentral:rRNA from 1 species